ACUAGUUUGAAAAGAAAAUAGAUUUACAAUAUGCUUCUCUGCCAAAUCUGGGAACAGCUUCAUCAUAAACUACAGUACCUGCAGUGAGUUUGAAGAGGCGCCCAUAACAUACAGUCGACUUGCUUUCGCAUCCACAUAUUUACACCUCAGUGAUGCUAUAGGAAUUUUGUCCAACUUAUAUCCAAGAUUAAGCUUAAAUAAAGGACCAGUUCGACUGCUAUUCUCUGACACUGAUUCAGCUUUUGGAUUUUGGCCAUACAGAAUAGCCCAUAUUAAAACAUCUCCAUUGCUAUACCCGAGAGCAACUUUACUUCCUAAAGGGCAAACCCAACAUGCAGAAGUCACCUUCUUUGCUUCUUGAUAUUGUGAUAGCAUGGAAUUUCCACCCGUGAUGAAAAUAGAUUUGGAUUCUUUAAUUUCCCACAAAGUAAUAAAGCCAUCACUGAAAAUUAGAAGCACUCUCUUAAAUUCAGUGGUCGGUUGUGGUAGUACGUGGGCUAUAGAAGAGUCACUGGUACCUUCAGCUGGAUUUCCG
rnacentral:misc_RNA from 1 species